rnacentral:rRNA from 1 species
AACGAACGCUGGCGGCAUGCCUAACACAUGCAAGUCGAACGAGACCUUCGGGUCUAGUGGCGCACGGGUGCGUAACGCGUGGGAAUCUGCCCUUGGGUUCGGAAUAACAGUUAGAAAUGACUGCUAACACCGGAUAAUGUCUUCGGACCAAAGAUUUAUCGCCCAGGGAUGAGCCCCGCGUAGGAUUAGCUAGUUGGUGAGGUAAAGGCUCACCAAGGCGACGAUCCUUAGCUGGUCUGAGAGGAUGAUCAGCCACACUGGGACUGAGACACGGCCCAGACUCCUACGGGAGGCAGCAGUGGGGAAUAUUGGACAAUGGGCGAAAGCCUGAUCCAGCAAUGCCGCGUGAGUGAUGAAGGCCUUAGGGUUGUUAAAGCUCUUUUACCCGGGAUGAUAAUGACAGUACCGGGAGAAUAAGCCCCGGCGUAACUACCGUGCCAGCAGCCGCGGUAAU